AUAAAGUCCAAACGUUAUAAAAUAUAGGGAUUACAUACUCCGUGGUAGUAUUUAUACUACACUACGCUUCUACUUAUUCUGAUAUAAAUAUAUAGACAACCUUCUUGCUGAUUUUUGAAUUAAAAGCAAGCCGAUUUGAUCACGAUGUUUGCCUUGAAGGUGUUAAUUGCGCACAUAGAAAGAAAAAUCAAUUGGGUAAAAUUCGAAGGUACGCACGCCACUCACUCAGGGUUGAGAUUUGCACGCUUAAACUUCUAGGCCAAAACUAACCUUACAAAAAAAUGCGAGUUUGUGUGAAAAAUAGAUAUAACAUAUUCGUAAUUAUAUAUAUUAUAGUAUAGUCUGAAUGGUGUCGUAGUCAAUAAUACCAAAGUUCACGUAUACUGACUGUUAUGUAUAAAAUGUUUAACAGUACGCGUGCUAGAAGCAAUUACUUGCGGUCCCGCCAAAAAUUACAGAUAAGUCAUGAGAUUGACGGAGCCAGCGCAUUGGUGCACGUCGAGAGAAAACGCCCGCGCCGAAGAACAGUGGUACCAACUCUACAAGAGAAAACUGCGCACGAAACUUUUCCGUUUGGCCCUAAUGAGUGCUAUGAUAAUAUGCAAUUCAUUCUAAACGAUGUAUUCUUAAGUUUUAUUCAUAUUUGGAAUAUGACAAAGUUAAGAAAUGAAAACUAUGGCGCUAGUUUUGCUUAAUUGUCAGUGGUGAUGAAACAUUCGCGAGACGCCAAUAUUCAGAAUCGAACGUCCGCACUCCGCCCCUCCAAAGAAUGACAGUGACCCAAAUGGAGCGCGGGCGCAUUCAGUUCCGCGAGCGAGCGCGCGACAGUCCUACCCGACGCAUGUGCCGCCGCGGUGCCACUGCGGAGUCCUAAUCGCCGGCUUGUGGUUCUAGUGUCACAUUUAUUCCGGUUUCCGGUGUUAUGCAGUGAGGUCAGUGAUUAAGGCCAUGGCUGGAUCAUUAAUGGAUGGUAUCGUGGAUUUUGACCUUUCAAGGUCAAUUCAAUUCUUAGAAGACUUUGGACGCUAGAGCACACCCUAAAUGUACAUAAAAAUAGAAAACAAUGUAUGGUCACACUGAAACCGUGGCACGCUGACGCUGAACGACACUCGCGCCAAACGGAGAACGCGGGGAGUGAUUCCCGCCAAAACGGUCGCAGGCUGUGGCGCGAAGGCCCACGAUUGGUCGAGCAGCGGCGCGCGGUGUGCGCAAGGCCGCCGGUUUUCCCGCGAACAAUGCCAAAUGGUGCAUUUGUCAAGGACCUCGGCUUGAAGGUUCCCGACUACAGCGGUCAGAUCGUCGAUGUCGGAACGAGUGGGACGGAAUGCAAGUUCCGCUUGCAUUUCAGCGGCGUUUGACGCCAGGCGCUUGAUUUCGGCGAGAUUCGCUUCCUCCGCUACGUUUGACCGUGUAAGCUGAGCCUGAGGGCGAAAUAAAUAGAUCAGCAAUGGUAGCGCGAUAGGCGGCCGCGUCAUGCGUCUCCGGUGGGUCGGCGGCCUCAGUGGUUGCGAGCAAAUCGUCUCGAAUGUUCCGCAAUUGUUCGUUCUCCGCCGUGCUC